GGUGAGAUGGCCGAGUUGGUUAUGGCGUCAGGUUAAGGUUAUCUUAACAGUAAUAUCCUGAUGGAGCAAUCCUCCUGGGUUCGAGUCCCAGUCUCAUCA
rnacentral:tRNA from 1 species